rnacentral:rRNA from 1 species
ACGAAGAGUUUGAUCCUGGCUCAGGAUGAACGCUAGCGACAGGCUUAACACAUGCAAGUCGAGGGGCAGCACAGGUAGCAAUACCGGGUGGCGACCGGCGCACGGGUGAGUAACGCGUAUGCAACUUACCUAUCAGAGGGGGAUAACCCGGCGAAAGUCGGACUAAUACCGCAUGAAGCAGGGGCCCCGCAUGGGGAUAUUUGCUAAAGAUUCAUC